GCCGCUUUAGCUCAGUGGUAGAGCAACGCUUUCGUAAAGCGUGGGUCAUCGGUUCAAAUCCGAUAAGCGGCU
rnacentral:tRNA from 1 species